rnacentral:rRNA from 1 species
UGGAUGGCGAGUUUGAUCCUGGCUCAGGAUAAACGCUGGCGGCGUGCCUAACACAUGCAAGUCGAACGCCCUGGCUGACUUCGGUCAGCCAGGGAGUGGCGGACGGGUGAGUAACACAUGGGUACCUACCUUUCAGUGAGGAAUACCGGCGAGAAAUCGCCGACAAGACCGCAUAGGCUUGAGGAGGGAGACCUCUGCAAGCAAAGCUCUUUUCUGAGGGCACUGGAAGCUGGGCCUGUGGCCGAUUAGCUAGUUGGUGGGGUAAACGCUCACCAAGGCGACGAUCGGUAGCUGGU